GUGGGGAAUCUUGCGCAAUGGGCGAAAGCCUGACGCAGCCAUGUCGCGUGGAUGAUGAAGGUCUUAGGAUUGUAAAAUCCUUUCACCGGUGAAGAUAAUGACUGUAGCCGGAGAAGAAGCCCCGGCUAACUUCGUGCCAGCAGCCGCGGUAAUACGAAGGGGGCUAGCGUUGCUCGGAAUUACUGGGCGUAAAGGGAGCGUAGGCGGACAUUUAAGUCAGGGGUGAAAUCCCGAGGCUCAACCUCGGAACUGCCUUUGAUACUGGGUGUCUUGAGUGUGAGAGAGGUGAGUGGAACUCCGAGUGUAGAGGUGAAAUUCGUAGAUAUUCGGAAGAACACCAGUGGCGAAGGCGUCUCACUGGCUCAUUACUGACGCUGAGGCUCGAAAGCGUGGGGAGCAAACAGGAUUAGAAACCCUUGUAGUCC
rnacentral:rRNA from 1 species